GCAGCUGGGGUUCCAUGGUAGAAUUCUUGCCUUCCAUGUUGGAGGCCCAGGUUCGAUUCCUGGCCAAUGUA
rnacentral:tRNA from 1 species